rnacentral:misc_RNA from 1 species
AUAUAUAAUUUUCACUGAUUUCACCAAAUUUUGCUUCCUUCGAACGUCCUUUUCAUUUGAAAUCAAUGGCCACAGUAUAAACCAAAAGAAAAACUUUCUUUUGAAUGUGAACUUUCUUUCAACUAUAUAUAACAUCUUUCAACUCACUGUCUUUUGUUGACAAAGAGUUUAUGGAGGUAUUAGCUAGGAAGUAUGAGCAAUUAAAUUAGGUGUAAUUUUGUGUGUAUGUGUGUGUGUGUUGGAUCUUGGCAUCUCCCUUUGAAUGGU